CAGCACCACUGCAGAUGGCAGAGUGCCAAUCCAUAUGGAAAUAUCAUUUAAUGUGUAUAAUCCAUUGCUGCUAUCAGUUCUGAUAUUGGCAGAGGGUUUCCUUAAAGGACCACUAUAGUGCCAGGAAAACAUACUCGUUUUCCUGGCACUAUAGUGCCCUGAGGGUGCCCCCACCCUCAGGGACCCCCUCCCGCCCGGCUCUGGAAAGGGGUAAUAACUUACCUUUUUCCAGCGCUGGGCGGAGAGCUCUCCGCCUCC